rnacentral:rRNA from 1 species
UACAGGGGGGGCAAGCGUUGUUCGGAAUCACUGGGCGUAAAGGGUGCGUAGGCGGGUCUUUAAGUCCGGGGUGAAAUCCUGGAGCUCAACUCCAGAACUGCCUUUGAUACUGAGGAUCUUGAGUGCGGGAGAGGUGAGUGGAACUGCGAGUGUAGAGGUGAAAUUCGUAGAUAUUCGCAAGAACACCAGUGGCGAAGGCGACUCACUGGCCCGAUACUGACGCUGAGGCACGAGAGCGUGGGGAGCAAACAGG